GAUGAAGAACGUAGCGAAAUGCGAUAAGUAAUGUGAAUUGCAGAAUUCAGUGAAUCAUCGAAUCUUUGAACGCAUCUUGCGCUCCUUGGUAUUCUGAGGAGCAUGCCUGUUUGAGUGUCAUUAAAUUCUCAACUACACUGACUUUGAAUUGGUGUGGCUUGGAGUUGGGGGGAAAAUUGUUGUGGGCUUUUUGUAUAGUCUGCUCCCCUGAAAUUGAUUAGCGGUACCUUUGUGGAACUGUCUACAGGUGUGAUAAUUAUCUACAUCUUAGACAUCUGCUGGAAUGCUGCUUUCUAAACCUUACUUGUAUUGACAAUCUUGACCUCAAAUCAGGUAGGACUACCCGCUGAACUUAAGCAUAUCAAUAAGCGGAGGA
rnacentral:misc_RNA from 1 species